UGCUGAGAAUCGAGCUUGCCAAUUUCCCACCGAACUUUGUUUAUACAGAUAAACUUGAGGGAGUUAUUUCUUUUAAUAGCAACGUGCUUCGAGUCAAGGAUGAUGGUGAAGAAUUUUUGUUUGGCGCUAAUUUAACGG
rnacentral:ribozyme from 1 species